ACGGGUGAGUAACACGUGGGUGAUCUGCCCUGCACUUCGGGAUAAGCCUGGGAAACUGGGUCUAAUACCGGAUACACCUCAUGGACUGCAUGGUCUGUGGGGGAAAGCUUUUGCGGUGUGGGAUGGGCCCGCGGCCUAUCAGCUUGUUGGUGGGGUGAUGGCCUACCAAGGCGACGACGGGUAGCCGGCCUGAGAGGGUGACCGGCCACACUGGGACUGAGAUACGGCCCAGACUCCUACGGGAGGCAGCAGUGGGGAAUAUUGCACAAUGGGCGCAAGCCUGAUGCAGCGACGCCGCGUGGGGGAUGACGGCCUUCGGGUUGUAAACCCCUUUCAGCACAGACGAAGCGCAAGUGACGGUAUGUGCAGAAGAAGGACCGGCCAACUACGUGCCAGCAGCCGCGGUAAUACGUAGGGUCCGAGCGUUGUCCGGAAUUACUGGGCGUAAAGAGCUCGUAGGUGGUUUGUCACGUUGUUCGUGAAAACCCACAGCUCAACUGUGGGCGUGCGAGCGAUACGGGCAGACUAGAGUACUGCAGGGGAGACUGGAAUUCCUGGUGUAGCGGUGGAAUGCGCAGA
rnacentral:rRNA from 1 species